GGGAACGAUAACGGCGUCGAGCGGCGGACGGGUGAGUAAUGCCUAGGAAAUUGCCCUGAUGUGGGGGAUAACCAUUGGAAACGAUGGCUAAUACCGCAUAAUACCUACGGGUCAAAGAGGGGGACCUUCGGGCCUCUCGCGUCAGGAUAUGCCUAGGUGGGAUUAGCUAGUUGGUGAGGUAAUGGCUCACCAAGGCGACGAUCCCUAGCUGGUCUGAGAGGAUGAUCAGCCACACUGGAACUGAGACACGGUCCAGACUCCUACGGGAGGCAGCAGUGGGGAAUAUUGCACAAUGGGCGCAAGCCUGAUGCAGCCAUGCCGCGUGUGUGAAGAAGGCCUUCGGGUUGUAAAGCACUUUCAGUCGUGAGGAAGGUAGUGUAGUUAAUAGCUGCAUUAUUUGACGUUAGCGACAGAAGAAGCACCGGCUAACUCCGUGCCAGCAGCCGCGGUAAUACGGAGGGUGCGAGCGUUAAUCGGAAUUACUGGGCGUAAAGCGCAUGCAGGUGGUUUGUUAAAGUCAGAUGUGAAAAGCCCCGGGGGCUCAACCUCGGAAUAGCAUUUGAAAACUGGCCAGACUAGAGUACUGUAGAGGGGGGUAGAAUUUUCAGGUGUAGCGGUGAAAUGCGUAGAGAUUCUGAAGGAAUACCGGUGGCGAAGGCGGCCCCCCUGGACAGAUACUGACACUCAGAUGCGAAAGCGUGGGGAGCAAACAGGAUUAGAUACCCUGGUAGUCCACGCCGUAAACGAUGUCUACUUGGAGGUUGUGGCCUUGAGCCGUGGCUUUCGGAGCUAACGCGUUAAGUAGACCGCCUGGGGAGUACGGUCGCAAGAUUAAAACUCAAAUGAAUUGACGGGGGCCCGCACAAGCGGUGGAGCAUGUGGUUUAAUUCGAUGCAACGCGAAGAACCUUACCUACUCUUGACAUCCAGAGAACUUUCCAGAGAUGGAUUGGUGCCUUCGGGAACUCUGAGACAGG
rnacentral:rRNA from 1 species